GUGCAGUGUAUAAAAAAAAUAUAUAUAUAAAAAGCCUCAAUAGGCUAAAGACCCAUAGGUAUAGCAGCUCAAUAUAACAUGAUACUAUGUUAAAUAAAAAAGUGCAAGUGCUAGAGUGUUUUAUCGGAGAAACCCAGUGGUUUUUUUUAAAUGUGGAAGGUGCACUACAUGCAAAUUCCAGAAAAAUAAAGUUACGGAAUUUUGCAGUACAGUGACCAAAGAAACCUUUAAAAUUAAGCACUUUAUUAAUGGUCAAAGAAAAUUUGUGGUUUAUUUGUUACAAUGUAAAUGUAGUGUUCAAUACGUAGGACGUACGAUUAGAAAACUACACGUAAGAUUACUAGAACAUUUUAAUGGGAUUAAGAAUAAGAAUGUGAAGCAUAGUGUACCUAAACACUGCAAUGUUUGUAAGGAGUUUGAUUUUAAAGAUUUUAUCUGUAUUGGGAUUGAUAAAAUUAUACCACAUUGGAGGGGUGGGGAUACUGAAAAAAUGUUAGGGAGACAGAAUGAAUAUACAAAAUGAAAUCCUCUGUCCCCUCAGGACUUAAUAUGGAUCUGGAUAUAUUGGCUUUUAUGGAUUGAUUGAUUCUGUAUUAACCUCUUUUUAUCUCUCAUUUUAUUCAUUUUUUAUGUAUAUAAUUUUAUUAUUAUUGCAUUUUUCUCCUGUGUAUUUUAAUACAUAAUUUUGAAUAUAUGUUUUAAUAUAUAUCUUUUGAAUUUUUAGAUGUUUUAUGCCUACACUGUCUAAUACUAUUUGUUUAUAGAUAUGUACCAUACUAUGGUCUUUGUGAUUUACAAUUUUACAUAUUUGCUAUUGUGCAAUUGUGUGUGUGUGUGUGUGUGUAUGUGUGUGUGUGUAUGUGUGUGUAUAUAUAUUUAUUAUUUGAUCUUAUGAUAUACCCCUAUUGUUGAUAUUUCCACCUCUCAAGUCUGUAGAUGUAUGGUUAGAUUGUUACCAUAAUGUAUAUAUGAUUAUGAAUUUAUGUAUUUUAUGUAUAUCUAUAUUAUACAUUUGGAAUAUAAAUGGACUUUUUUAAUUAAAUUUUUU